ensembl:rRNA 5S_rRNA 5S ribosomal RNA
UCCACAGCCAUAUCACCCUGAAGCCCAAGACUGGUUACUCACUGAAGCUACUAUAAGCAGGGCUGAGCCUGGUCAGUACCUGCAUGGGAGACCACAUGGUAAAACUAGGUUGCUAAUGGAA